rnacentral:misc_RNA from 1 species
AAUAGGAUAGAGGAAUAUUUCCUACAUAGAGUGGAAUUCUUAUUUUAAUAUUAUUCCUAAAUUGAAGAUGGGAUCUAUUGGGUGUAAUUGGGUUGAUAAGUAAUAAGCUUUGAGCUUGUAAUUUAUUAUGGAAAAUGACAUGCCCGUAGAUGUAGUCCUAUGUGAAAGGAGUGAAUCACGUAAAUAAAUAUGAGUAUUUUGUGUAUUUACUUUAUUUAGCUUCCGCGGUGUUAUUGUGUGAAUAUUCAUGAGGGAAGUAAAUAAAAUAAUUAAGUUGAAACACUUGUGUUAGUGUGUAUGUAAUGUAGUGCAUAUGCAAAAGACUGAAAAAGACUAGCUUGGCAGAACUCUAUUAGCAUAUGAGGUGAUAAUCUCUGUUUGCCUAAUUAUAAGACGAAGGAGGUCAACCCAACAAACUAUAUAUGGCACCUCAACCACUCAUCCAAGUAAAGAACUACCAGUCUCAAUUUCUCAACCACCAGAACAAUCAUUCUCAUAUUCCACCUUAUUAAAUACUGAUCUACUACAUAGACCUUGCUGAUCCAAAACGCCAACCUUUCUUGUAGGAAUGAAAUGGGGGACUCAUUAGGUCACACCUCAAAUGACACUACUAGUGAUAUUAAUACUAAAGCCGAUGUAAAAAGUCAAGAUUCUUGGCCAGAUUUCUCUGAGGAUGAGGAGAGUCUCAUUGCUAGAAUGUUUAGAUUGGUUGGAAAGAGGUUUGGUUAUUUGUUUUGUUUUAAUUGGCUAAGAUUAUUGUAAAAGAACAGUGUAAUAUUGUUGGUCAUGUGUACUUUUUUAUUGUAGGUGGUCACUAAUUGCUGGAAGAAUACCAGGAAGGACAGCAGAAGAGAUAGAGAAGUACUGGACUUCAAAAUACAGCUCUUCAAGUGAAAGAUGAAUUUCAAUAACCUUGAACCUGAUGUUGCAGAAAGUUUGAUAAAUGGGUUUUGGUUUUUAUUUUUCUGAAACUGUUUAAGAUGGUGUGGUGUAACAUUUCACAUUUUCAUGUUCUUGAAGCUUUCUGAAACUUAGUAAUGGAUUGCUGUUGAAGAUGAUAAAUUCAAGUUUCUUUAUUUUGGAGUAUAUUUGUACAUUGCUACCUUGAUUUCUUGAACUCAUUUACAAUUUUGCUAGUUGUUUUGAAACUUUUGUCUUGCAUUGUAUUGUUCAUUUAAAUUUCUAAA